GAGCCUGUAGCUCAGCCCGGCAGAGCACUGCUCUGAUAAGGCAGGGGUCCGAGGUUCAAAUCCUCGCAGGCUCA
rnacentral:tRNA from 1 species